GACGAACGCUGGCGGCGUGCUUAACACAUGCAAGUCGAACGGAAAGGCCCUGCUUGCAGGGUACUCGAGUGGCGAACGGGUGAGUAACACGUGGGUGAUCUGCCCUGCACUUCGGGAUAAGCCUGGGAAACUGGGUCUAAUACCGGAUAGGAGCCAUUUUUAGUGUGAUGGUUGGAAAGUUUUUUCGGUGUAGGAUGAGCUCGCGGCCUAUCAGCUUGUUGGUGGGGUAAUGGCCUACCAAGGCGGCGACGGGUAGCCGGCCUGAGAGGGUGGACGGCCACAUUGGGACUGAGAUACGGCCCAGACUCCUACGGGAGGCAGCAGUGGGGAAUAAUGCACAAUGGGCGCAAGCCUGAUGCAGCGACGCCGCGGGGGGGAUGACGGCCUUCGGGUUGUAAACUCCUUUCGCUAGGGACGAAGCUUUUUGUGACGGUACCUAGAUAAGAAGCACCGGCUAACUACGUG
rnacentral:rRNA from 1 species